GGUGUGGGAGUCCACCGGAGUGCGGGCAUCUUCCUCAGCAUCGCUCAUGUCACCGUGGUCGGCCAAUCCAUGAUAUGCCUCGCCGGUGAGGACGCCGUCUAUCUCAACUUCGGUCAGAUCUUGAGCAGCGGCACCUGCUGCAUCGUUAUUCUCAACAUGUUCAGGCUGAGUCUCAGAGUUGCUCAGCAACGGGUACUCGUCCUGUUUGUCGAUAGCAGAUUUCUGAAACAAAUCACGCGUCAUUUGCAACAGUUCUGAUGAUUUACUUGCAGUAGUAAUUCUUGAAGCGAAUGAAAUCUCUGAAGUUGUCUUCCGUUGGAAGGUAGUGGCCACUGUAUGGCCAUAUUGCCUGAAGAAAUGGAGCACCGUCAGAAUUCCAUCUUUGACCACCAAUCGUCCAGCACAUGUUAUGGCUCCACCAGCUAGGAAACUGGAAUGCUGAAACGAUCCUUUCUUCUUCUGCACAUCGUCAAGGCCAGAGCCGAAGAAAACGUCAGAACCAAUGCAGCGAAUUGUAUCUUUGACUAGGAAUUGCGUACAUACGCGAAGCGGUGUGUAGAGAAAAAGAACAUUUACGUGGCCAACAUAGAAUGCCUUUGUGGUGCUGAGGACAAAAAUCCACUUGGAGUCAUCUGAAGUGUGCACAAGAACCCCGGUUUGUUUGAACAUAAGUUUGCCACCCUCAAUAACAACUUCAUAGUGUUGCCUCUCUUGCUGUUGUUGAAAAGAUGAAAAAAGAGGAUCAGAUGAUGUUCUCAAUUAUUCAACACUUAAUGUUACUUUUCUGAUGUGUUAGGUUGAUGUA